rnacentral:rRNA from 1 species
AGAAUCAACGCUGGCGGCGUGCCUAACACAUGCAAGUCGAUCGAGAAAGUGGAGCAAUCCAUGAGUAAAGAGGCGCACGGGUGAGUAACACGUGACUAACCUACCUUCGGGUGGGGAAUAACCUGGGGAAACCCGGGCUAAUACCGCAUAAUACCUACGGGUCAAAGGAGCAAUUCGCUUGAAGAGGGGGUCGCGGCAGAUUAGUUAGUUGGCGGGGUAAUGGCCCACCAAGACGAUGAUCUGUAUCCGGCCUGAGAGGGCGCACGGACACACUGGAACUGAAACACGGUCCAGACUCCUACGGGAGGCAGCAGUGGGGAAUUUGCGCAAUGGGGGAAACCCUGACGCAGCAACGCCGCGUGGAGGAUGAAGUCCCUUGGGACGUAAACUCCUUUCGACCGGGACGAUUAUGACGGUACCGGAUGAAGAAGCCCCGGCUAACUUCGUGCCAGCAGCCGC